UUACGGAAGGCAGCAGUGGGGAAUUUUGGACAAUGGGCGAAAGCCUGAUCCAGCCAUGCCGCGUGAGUGAAGAAGGCCUUCGGGUUGUAAAGCUCUUUCGGUCGAGAAGAAAUGUCUAUGACUAAUACUUAUAGAAAAUGACGGUAUCGACAUAAGAAGCACCGGCUAACUACGUGCCAGCAGCCGCGGUAAUACGUAGGGUGCAAGCGUUAAUCGGAAUUAUUGGGCGUAAAGGGUGCGCAGGCUGUGUUGUAAGUCAGAUGUGAAAUCCCCGGGCUUAACCUGGGAAUUGCGUUUGAAACUGCAAUGCUAGAGUGUGAUAGAGGAGAGUGGAAUUCCAUGUGUAGCAGUGAAAUGCGUAGAGAUGUGGAAGAACACCAAUGGCGAAGGCAGCUCUCUGGAUUAACACUGACGCUCAUGCACGAAAGCGUGGGGAGCAAACAGGAUUAGAUACCCUGGUAGC
rnacentral:rRNA from 1 species